AGAGUUUGAUCCUGGCUCAGGACGAACGCUGGCGGCGUGCCUAAUACAUGCAAGUCGUGCGGACUUUUUAAAAGCUUGCUUUUAAAAGGUUAGCGGCGGACGGGUGAGUAACACGUGGGCAACCUGCCUGUAAGAUCGGGAUAACGCCGGGAAACCGGGGCUAAUACCGGAUAGUUUUUUCCUCCGCAUGGAGGAAAAAGGAAAGACGGCUUCGGCUGUCACUUACAGAUGGGCCCGCGGCGCAUUAGCUAGUUGGUGGGGUAACGGCUCACCAAGGCAACGAUGCGUAGCCGACCUGAGAGGGUGAUCGGCCACAUUGGGACUGAGACACGGCCCAAACUCCUACGGGAGGCAGCAGUAGGGAAUCUUCCGCAAUGGACGAAAGUCUGACGGAGCAACGCCGCGUGAGUGAAGAAGGCCUUCGGGUCGUAAAACUCUGUUGCCGGGGAAGAACAAGUGCCGUUCGAACAGGGCGGCGCCUUGACGGUACCCGGCCAGAAAGCCACGGCUAACUACGUGCCAGCAGCCGCGGUAAUACGUAGGUGGCAAGCGUUGUCCGGAAUUAUUGGGCGUAAAGCGCGCGCAGGCGGCUUCUUAAGUCUGAUGUGAAAUCUUGCGGCUCAACCGCAAGCGGUCAUUGGAAACUGGGAGGCUUGAGUGCAGAAGAGGAGAGUGGAAUUCCACGUGUAGCGGUGAAAUGCGUAGAGAUGUGGAGGAACACCAGUGGCGAAGGCGGCUCUCUGGUCUGUAACUGACGCUGAGGCGCGAAAGCGUGGGGAGCAAACAGGAUUAGAUACCCUGGUAGUCCACGCCGUAAACGAUGAGUGCUAAGUGUUAGAGGGUUUCCGCCCUUUAGUGCUGCAGCUAACGCAUUAAGCACUCCGCCUGGGGAGUACGGCCGCAAGGCUGAAACUCAAAGGAAUUGACGGGGGCCCGCACAAGCGGUGGAGCAUGUGGUUUAAUUCGAAGCAACGCGAAGAACCUUACCAGGUCUUGACAUCCUCUGACCUCCCUGGAGACAGGGCCUUCCCCUUCGGGGGACAGAGUGACAGGUGGUGCAUGGUUGUCGGCAGACGGGAAAAUAUACACCUGUCUGUUUGCCGCACAAGGCACGGACCUGCUUGGGGCAAUAAGAGAAGGCGCAAGCGAUGAAAUGCUGGCUGCCCGCAUUGCAGGCGUAUGGCAAAACCGGGUGGACCGCUAUUCACAAGAACGGGGGAAAAACCCGACGAUGAAAGGAAAACGAAUCGAAAUGUCGUAUAUUGUAGGGUACCUCUGACCUCCCUGGAGACAGGGCCUUCCCCUUCGGGGGACAGAGUGACAGGUGGUGCAUGGUUGUCGUCAGCUCGUGUCGUGAGAUGUUGGGUUAAGUCCCGCAACGAGCGCAACCCUUGACCUUAGUUGCCAGCAUUCAGUUGGGCACUCUAAGGUGACUGCCGGUGACAAACCGGAGGAAGGUGGGGAUGACGUCAAAUCAUCAUGCCCCUUAUGACCUGGGCUACACACGUGCUACAAUGGAUGGUACAAAGGGCUGCGAGACCGCGAGGUUAAGCCAAUCCCAGAAAACCAUUCCCAGUUCGGAUUGCAGGCUGCAACCCGCCUGCAUGAAGCCGGAAUCGCUAGUAAUCGCGGAUCAGCAUGCCGCGGUGAAUACGUUCCCGGGCCUUGUACACACCGCCCGUCACACCACGAGAGUUUGUAACACCCGAAGUCGGUGAGGUAACCUUUACGGAGCCAGCCGCCGAAGGUGGGACAGAUGAUUGGGGUGAAGUCGUAACAAGGUAGCCGUAUCGGAAGGUGCGGCUGGAUCACCU
rnacentral:rRNA from 2 species